rnacentral:tRNA from 1 species
GCCGGGGUGGCGCAAUCUGGUACCGCGCAGCCCUGGAAAGGCUGUUUCCUUACGGAUAUCUGGGUUCGAAUCCCAGUCCCGGCG